rnacentral:rRNA from 1 species
UGAGGAAUAUUGGUCAAUGGGCGCGAGCCUGAACCAGCCAAGUCGCGUGAGGGAUGACGGCCCUAUGGGUUGUAAACUUCUUUUGUCGGGGAACAAAAGCCGAUUUGCGAAUUGGUCUGAGUGUACCCGAAGAAAAAGCAUCGGCUAACUCCGUGCC